ACGGGUAACGGGGAAUUAGGGUUCGAUUCCGGAGAGGGAGCCUGAGAAACGGCUACCAUAUCUAAGGAAGGCAGCAGGCGCGCAAAUUACCCAAUCCUAAUACAGGGAGGUAGUGACAAGAAAUAACAAUACAGGACUUUUUGGUUUUGUAAUUGGAAUGAGUUAAGUAUAAACCCAUUUACAAGUAUCAAUUGGAGGGCAAGUCUGGUGCCAGCAGCCGCGGUAAUUCCAGCUCCAAUAGCGUAUAUUAAAGUUGUUGCAGUUAAAAAGCUCGUAGUUGGAUUUCUGUUAAUAAUUUAUAUAAAAUAUUUUGAUGAAUAUUUAUAUAAUAUUAACAUAAUUCAUAUUACUAUAUAUUUUAGUAUAUGAAAUUUUACUUUGAGAAAAUUAGAGUGCUUAAAGCAGGCAUAUGCCUUGAAUACUCCAGCAUGGAAUAAUAUUAAAGAUUUUUAUCUUUCUUAUUGGUUCUAAGAUAAGAAUAAUGAUUAAUAGGGACAGUUGGGGGCAUUUGUAUUUAA
rnacentral:rRNA from 1 species